UACGUAGGUGACAAGCGUUGUCCGGAUUUACUGGGCGUAAAGAGCGCGCAGGCGGUCGAUCAAGUCGAGUGUGAAAGCCCCCCGGCUCAACUGGGGAGGGUCAUUCGAUACUGAUCGACUCGAAGGCAGGAGAGGGUAGUGGAAUUCCCGGUGUAGUGGUGAAAUGCGUAGAUAUCGUAAGGAACCCCAGAGGCGAAGGCGGCGUCCUGGCUCGCAUCUGACGCUCAGACACGACAGCAUGGGGAGCGAACGGG
rnacentral:rRNA from 1 species